GACGAACGCUGGCGGCGUGCUUAACACAUGCAAGUCGAACGGUGAAGCGCCUUCCUUUUUGGUGGGUGUGGAUGAGUGGCGAACGGGUGAGUAACACGUGAGUAACCUGCCCCCUUCUUCUGGAUAACCGCAUGAAAGUGUGGCUAAUACGGGAUAUUCUGGGUCUGUCGCAUGAUGGGUCUGGGACAGAUAUUGUUUCGGUGGGGGAUGGGCUGGCGGCCUAUCAGCUUGUUGGUGGGGUGAUGGCCUACCAAGGCGGUGACGGGUAGCCGGCCUGGGAGGGUGGACGGUCACACUGGGACUGAGACACGGCCCAGACUCCUACGGGAGGCAGCAGUGGGGAAUAUUGCACAGUGGGCGCAAGCCUGAUGCAGCGACGCCGCGUGAGGGAUGGAGGCCUUCGGGUUGUGAACCUCUUUCGCCAGUGAAGCAGGCCUGCCUCGUUUGUGGGUGGGUUGACGGUAGCUGGAUAAGAAGCGCCGGCUAACUACGUG
rnacentral:rRNA from 1 species